rnacentral:rRNA from 1 species
ACGAACGCUGGCGGCGUGCUUAACACAUGCAAGUCGAACGGGGUCCAUGGAGUAGCGAUACUCCGGAAGACCUAGUGGCGAACGGGUGAGUAACACGUGAGCAACCUGCCCCAAAGACUGGGAUAACCCCGGGAAACCGGAGCUAAUACCGGAUGCCGUCUUCUGAUCGCAUGAUCGGACGACGAAAUGAAUUUCGCUUUGGGAGGGGCUCGCGGGAUAUCAGCUUGUUGGUGGGGUAACGGCCUACCAAGGCUUCGACGUCUAGCUGGUCUGAGAGGACGAUCAGCCACACUGGGACUGAGACACGGCCCAGACUCCUACGGGAGGCAGCAGUGGGGAAUCUUGCCCAAUGGGCGAAAGCCUGAGGCAGCAACGCCGCGUGUGGGAUGACGGCCCUCGGGUUGUAAACCACUUUCAGUAGGGACGAAAUUGACGGUACCUACAGAAGAAGCUCCGGCCAACUACGUGCCAGCAGCCGCGGUAAUACGUAGGGAGCGAGCGUUGUCCGGAUUUAUUGGGCGUAAAGCGCGCGUAGGCGGUUUGGUAAGCCGGGUGUGAAACCCUCGAGCUCAACUCGGGGCGGCCACUCGGAACUGCUAUGACUUGAGUCUGGUAGGGGAACACGGAAUACCUGGUGUAGCGGUGAAAUGCUUAGAUAUCAGGUGGAACACCAGUGGCGAAGGCGGUGUUCUGGGCCAGUACUGACGCUGAGGCGCGAAAGCGUGGGGAGCGAACAGGAUUAGAUACCCUGGUAGUCCACGCCGUAAACGUUGCACACUAGGUGUGGGGCCCUAUCGACGGGUUCCGUGCCGUAGCUAACGCAUUAAGUGUGCCGCCUGGGGAGUACGGUCGCAAGACUAAAACUCAAAGAAAUUGACGGGGGCCCGCACAAGCGGCGGAGCAUGUUGCUUAAUUCGAUGCAACGCGAAGAACCUUACCUAGGUUGAACUACGCAGGAAAAGCCAUAGAGAUAUGGUGUCCGAAAGGGUCUGCGAUAGGUGGUGCAUGGCUGUCGUCAGCUCGUGUCGUGAGAUGUUGGGUUAAGUCCCGCAACGAGCGCAACCCUUAUUCUAUGUUGCCAGCGGGUAAUGCCGGGGACUCGUAGAAGACUGCCGAGGUCAACUCGGAGGAAGGUGGGGAUGACGUCAAGUCAUCAUGCCCCUUAUGCCUAGGGCUGCAAACAUGCUACAAUGGCCGGUACAAAGGGCUGCUAUUCCGCGAGGAUGAGCGAAUCCCAUAAAGCCGGUCUCAGUUCGGAUUGGAGUCUGCAACUCGACUCCAUGAAGUCGGAGUCGCUAGUAAUCCCGGAUCAGCAAUGCCGGGGUGAAUACGUUCCCAGGCCUUGUACACACCGCCCGUCACACCAUGGGAGUUGGUUUCACCCGAAGGUGGUGCGCUAACCCGCAAGGGAGGCAGCCAACCACGGUGGGAUCAGCGACUGGGGUG